rnacentral:rRNA from 1 species
GACGAACGCUGGCGGCGUGCUUAACACAUGCAAGUGGUGCGACGAACCAGGCUUUGGCCUGGGGCAGAGCCGCGAACGGGUGAGUAACACGUGGGCAACCUGCCCUGUUGAUCGGGACAACCCGGGGAAACCCGGGCUAAUACCGAAUGUGGUGCCGGCUCAUGAGAGCCGUCACGAAAGGAAGCUUCGGCCUCCGCGACAGGAUGGGCCCGCGGCCCAUUAGCUUGUUGGUGGGGUAAUGGCCUACCAAGGCGACGAUGGGUAGCUGGUCUGAGAGGACGAUCAGCCACACUGGGACUGAGACACGGCCCAGACUCCUACGGGAGGCUGCAGUGGGGAAUCUUGCGCAAUGAGCGACAGCUUGACGCAGCAACGCCGCGUGUGUGAAGAAGGCCUUCGGGUUGUAAAGCACUUUAAGCGGGGAGGAAGGCCUGAUGGCUAAUAUCCAUCAGGAUUGACGUUACCCGCAGAAUAAGCACCGGCAAACUUCGUGCCAGCCGCCGCGGUAA